rnacentral:siRNA from 1 species
GCUGUUGUUGUAGGUUUGACGAUG